rnacentral:rRNA from 1 species
GAUGAACGCUGGCGGCGUGCCUAAUACAUGCAAGUCGAGCGAACAGACGAGGAGCUUGCUCCUCUGACGUUAGCGGCGGACGGGUGAGUAACACGUGGAUAACCUACCUAUAAGACUGGGAUAACUUCGGGAAACCGGAGCUAAUACCGGAUAAUAUAUUGAACCGCAUGGUUCAAUAGUGAAAGACGGUUUUGCUGUCACUUAUAGAUGGAUCCGCGCCGCAUUAGCUAGUUGGUAAGGUAACGGCUUACCAAGGCAACGAUGCGUAGCCGACCUGAGAGGGUGAUCGGCCACACUGGAACUGAGACACGGUCCAGACUCCUACGGGAGGCAGCAGUAGGGAAUCUUCGGCAAUGGGCGAAAGCCUGACCGAGCCACGCCGCGUGAGUGAUGAAGGCCUUCGGGUCGUAAAACCCUUUUAUUAGGGAAGAACAAAUGUGUAAGUAUCUAUGCACGUCUUGACGGUACCUAAUCAGAAAGCCACGGCUAACUACGUG